AAACGGAUGAUCUGAUGGAUAAAGGCAAAGAGUUCCAGAGUGUAGGACCAAGAACUGAAAAAGCUCUGUUCCCUUUAGAUUUUAAACGAG